rnacentral:rRNA from 1 species
UACGAAGGGUGCUAGCGUUGUUCGGAAUUACUGGGCGUAAAGCGCGCGUAGGCGGCUUAACAAGUCAGGGGUGAAAUCCUGGGGCUCAACCCCAGAAUUGCCUUUGAAACUGUUAGCUUGAGUGUCGGAGGGGAUAGCGGAAUUGCUAAUGUAGAGGUGAAAUUCGUAGAUAUUAGCAGGAACACCGGUGGCGAAGGCGGCUAUCUGGACGACAACUGACGCUGAGGCGCGAAAGCGUGGGGAUCAAACAGG